rnacentral:rRNA from 1 species
GUCUACGGCCAUGCCACCCUGAACAAGCCCAAUCCCGUCUGAUCUUGGGAGCUAAGCAGGGUCGGGCCUGGUUAGUACUUGGACAGGAGACCACCUAGGAAGACCAGGUGCUAUAGGUC